CGGCAUCCCCAUUACCUAUGGACACGGUGCCAAAAGCUCUCUUGCGGGAGUUGUCCCCGGAGCUUGCCGAAAGGUUUCCCGUGUCCCG
rnacentral:ncRNA from 1 species